rnacentral:rRNA from 1 species
CGUGGACUACAUGCAAGUCGAACGAUGACUUCUGUGCUUGCACAGAAUGAUUAGUGGCGAACGGGUGAGUAACACGUGAGUAACCUGCCCUUAACUUCGGGAUAAGCCUGGGAAACCGGGUCUAAUACCGGAUACACCUCCUGGCGCAUGCCAUGGGGUGGAAAGCUUUAGCGGUUUUGGAUGGACUCGCGGCCUAUCAGCUUGUGGUUGGGGUAAUGGCCCACCAAGGCGACGACGGGUAGCCGGCCUGAGAGGGUGACCGGCCACACUGGGACUGAGACCGGCCCAACUCCUACGGGAGGCAGCAGUGGGGAAUAUUGCACAAUGGGCGAAAGCCUGAUGCAGCGACGCCGCGUGAGGGAUGACGGCCUUCGGGUUGUAAACCUCUUUCAGCAGGGAAAAGCGAAAGUGACGGUACCUGCAAAAAGCGCCGGCUAACUACGUGCCAGCAGCCGCGGUAAUACGUAGGGCGCAAGCGUUAUCCGGAAUUAUUGGGCGUAAAGAGCUCGUAGGCGGUUUGUCGCGUCUGCUGUGAAAGCCCGGGGCUCAACCCCGGGUCUGCAUGGGUACGGGCAGACUAGAGUGCGUAGGGGAGACUGGAAUUCCUGGUGUAGCGGUGAAAUGCGCAGAUAUCAGAGGAACACCGAUGGCGAAGGCGGUCUCUGGGCUGUAACUGACGCUGAGGAGCGAAAGCUGGGGAGCGAACAGGAUUAGAUACCCUGGUAGUCCAUGCCGUAAACGUUGGGCACUAGGUGUGGGGGACAUUCCACGUUUUCCGCGCCGUAGCUAACGCAUUAAGUGCCCCGCCUGGGAGUACGGCCGCAAGGCUAAAACUCAAAGGAUUGACGGGGGCCCGCACAGCGGCGGAGCAUGCUGAAUCAUCGAUGCAACGCGAAAGAAACCUUACCAGGCCUGAC